rnacentral:rRNA from 1 species
UACGAAGGGGGCUAGCGUUGUUCGGAAUCACUGGGCGUAAAGCGCACGCAGGCGGAUUGAUAAGUCAGGGGUGAAAUCCCGGAGCUCAACUUCGGAAUUGCCUUUGAUACUGUCUGUCUUGAGUCCGGGAGAGGUGAGUGGAAUUCCUAGUGUAGAGGUGAAAUGCGUAGAUAUCAGGAAGAACACCCGUGGCGAAAGCGGCUCUCUGGAACGGUACUGACGCUGAGACGCGAAAGCGUGGGGAGCGAACAGG